UAUUCUUUGUACAAAGCCAUUUCGACCUCUGUGUACUGAGGGCAAUACAGAUUAUUGACUACCAUUGUGGAAUGACAAUUUCAUUUUACAUCAUUUCAACAUAUUUGUAGCUUAUUAAACCACAGUGCAUUUACAGCUUGCAAAACUAUUACACAUUCUAUGACCACGGUCGUGCCAACCACAGUCGUUCUAUAUGUAAACUAUAGUCAUGAUUGUACAUCGCCAAGGUGACUCCUACAAUCAUAUU
rnacentral:lncRNA from 1 species